rnacentral:rRNA from 1 species
UGCUCCAGUUGACCGCAUGGUCCUCUGGGAAAGAUUCAUCGGUAUGGGAUGGGGUCGCGUCCUAUCAGCUUGAUGGCGGGGUAACGGCCCACCAUGGCUUCGACGGGUAGCCGGCCUGAGAGGGCGACCGGCCACAUUGGGACUGAGAUACGGCCCAGACUCCUACGGGAGGCAGCAGUGGGGAAUAUUGCACAAUGGGCGCAAGCCUGAUGCAGCGACGCCGCGUGAGGGAUGGAGGCCUUCGGGUUGUAAACCUCUUUUAUCGGGGAGCAAGCGAGAGUGAGUUUACCCGUUGAAUAAGCACCGGCUAACUACGUGCCAGCAGCCGCGGUAAUACGUAGGGUGCAAGCGUUAUCCGGAAUUAUUGGGCGUAAAGGGCUCGUAGGCGGUUCGUCGCGUCCGGUGUGAAAGUCCAUCGCUUAACGGUGGAUCCGCGCCGGGUACGGGCGGGCUUGAGUGCGGUAGGGGAGACUGGAAUUCCCGGUGUAACGGUGGAAUGUGUAGAUAUCGGGAAGAACACCAAUGGCGAAGGCAGGUCUCUGGGCCGUUACUGACGCUGAGGAGCGAAAGCGUGGGGAGCGAACAGGAUUAGAUACCCUGGUAGUCCACGCCGUAAACGGUGGAUGCUGGAUGUGGGGCCCGUUCCACGGGUUCCGUGCCGUAGCUAACGCUUUAAGUACCCCGCCUGGGGAGUACGGCCGCAAGGCUAAAACUCAAAGGAAUUGACGGGGCCCCGCACAAGCGGCGGAGCAUGCGGAUUAAUUCGAUGCAACGCGUAGAACCUUACCUGGGUUUGACAUGGAUCGGGAGUGCUCAGAGAUGGGUGUGCCUCUUUUGGGGUCGGUUCACAGGUGGUGCAUGGCUGUCGUCAGCUCGUGUCGUGAGAUGUUGGGUUAAGUCCCGCAACGAGCGCAACCCUCGCCCUGUGUUGCCAGCACGUCGUGGUGGGAACUCACGGGGGACCGCCGGGGUCAACUCGGAGGAAGGUGGGGAUGACGUCAGAUCAUCAUGCCCCUUACGUCCAGGGCUUCACGCAUGCUACAAUGGCCGGUACAACGGGAUGCGACACCGCGAGGUGGAGCGGAUCCCUUAAAACCGGUCUCAGUUCGGAUUGGAGUCUGCAACCCGACUCCAUGAAGGCGGAGUCGCUAGUAAUCGCGGAUCAGCAACGC